rnacentral:tRNA from 3 species
GGUCUGGUGGUCUAGUGGUAUGAUUCUCGCUUAGGGCAAACCCUACAGCUACAGCUUGCGAGAGGUCCCGGGUUCAAUCCCCGGCCAGACCC